rnacentral:rRNA from 1 species
AGAGUUUGAUCAUGGCUCAGAAUGAACGCUGGCGGCGCGCUUAACACAUGCAAGUCGAGCGAGAAAGCUUCUUCGGAAGUUAGUAAAGCGGCGGACGAGUUAGUAACACGUGAGAAUCUACCCUUCAGUGAAGAAUACCCUCGAGAAAUCGAGGCUAAUGCUGCAUACGUCCUCUCAAAGAGAUUUGGGAGGAGAAAAGUGGCCUCUUGCUGCUGCUGAAGGAUGAGCUUGCGGACUAUUAGCUAGUUGGUGGGGUAAAGGCUCACCAAGGCUUUGAUGGUUAGCCGGCCUGAGAGGGUGUUCGGCAACGCUGGAACUUAGACACGGUCCAGACUCCUACGGGGGGCAGCAGUGAGGAAUAUUGCGCAAUGGGCGAAAGCCUGACGCAGCGACGCCGCGUGGAGGAUGAAGGUUUUCGGAUUGUAAACUCCUGUUAAGUGGGAAGAAAGGCUCUUUCUUAAUACGAAAGAGAGAUGACGGUACCAUUAGAGAAAGCACCGGCUAACUUCGUGCCAGCAGCCGCGGUAAUACGAGGGGUGCAAGCGUUAUUCGGAAUCAUUGGGCGUAAAGGGUGUGUAGGCGGCAACUUAAGUCAACUGUUAAAUGCUCCGGCCUAACUGGAGAGCUGCGGUAGAUACUGGGUUGCUAGAGGGUGGAAGAGAGAAGUGGAAUUCUCGGAGUAGCGGUAAAAUGCGUAGAUCUCGAGAGGAACACCAAUGGCGAAGGCAGCUUCUUGGUCCAUUUCUGACGCUGAGACACGAAAGCGUGGGGAGCAAACAGGAUUAGAUACCCUAGUAGUCC